rnacentral:rRNA from 1 species
CGUAGGGUCCGAGCGUUGUCCGGAAUUAUUGGGCGUAAAGGGCUCGUAGGCGGUUUGUCACGUCGGGCGUGAAAACUCAGGGCUCAACCCUGAGCGUGCGUCCGAUACGGGCAGACUAGAGGUAUGCAGGGGAGAACGGAAUUCCUGGUGUAGCGGUGGAAUGCGCAGAUAUCAGGAGGAACACCGGUGGCGAAGGCGGUUCUCUGGGCAUUACCUGACGCUGAGGAGCGAAAGCAUGGGGAGCGAACAGGAUUAGAUACCCUGGUAGUCCAUGCCGUAAACGUUGGGCGCUAGGUGUGGGGACCUUCCACGGUCUCCGUGCCGCAGCUAACGCAUUAAGCGCCCCGCCUGGGGAUACGGCCGCAAGGCUA